rnacentral:rRNA from 1 species
AUUGAACGCUGGCGGCAGGCCUAACACAUGCAAGUCGAACGAGUGGCGGACGGGUGAGUAAUGUCUGGGAAACUGCCUGAUGGAGGGGGAUAACUACUGGAAACGGUAGCUAAUACCGCAUACCAUCAGAUGUGCCCAGAUGGGAUUAGCUAGUUGGUGGGGUAACGGCUCACCAAGGCGACGAGCCCUAGCUGGUCUGAGAGGAUGACCAGCAACCCUGGUAACGAGACAGGGUCCAGACUCCGACGGGAGGCAGCAGUGGGGAAUAUGGCACAAUGGGCGCAAGCCUGAUGCGGCCAUACCGCGGGUAUGAAGAAGGCCUUCGGGUUGUAAAGUACUUUCAGCGGAGAGGCGUUACCCGCAGAAGAAGCACCGGCUAACUCCGUGCCAGCAGCCGCGGUAAUAC